rnacentral:rRNA from 1 species
GCUGGCGGCAGGCCUAACACACGCAAGUCGAGCGCACCUUCGGGUGAGCGGCGGACGGGUUAGUAACGCGUGGGAACGUACCCUUUUCCACGGAAUAGCCUUUGGAAACGAAGAGUAAUACCGUAUACGCCCUUUGGGGGAAAGAUUUAUCGGAGAAGGAUCGGCCCGCGUUAGAUUAGAUAGUUGGUGGGGUAACGGCCUACCAAGUCUACGAUCUAUAGCUGGUUUUAGAGGAUGAUCAGCAACACUGGGACUGAGACACGGCCCAGACUCCUACGGGAGGCAGCAGUGGGGAAUCUUAGACAAUGGGCGCAAGCCUGAUCUAGCCAUGCCGCGUGAGUGAUGAAGGCCUUAGGGUCGUAAAGCUCUUUCGCCUGUGAUGAUAAUGACAGUAGCAGGUAAAGAAACCCCGGCUAACUCCGUGCCAGCAGCCGCGGUAAUACGGAGGGGGUUAGCGUUGUUCGGAAUUACUGGGCGUAAAGCGCACGUAGGCGGAUUGGAAAGUUGGGGGUGAAAUCCCGGGGCUCAACCCCGGAACUGCCUCCAAAACUAUCAGUCUAGAGUUCGAGAGAGGUGAGUGGAAUUCCAAGUGUAGAGGUGAAAUUCGUAGAUAUUUGGAGGAACACCAGUGGCGAAGGCGGCUCACUGGCUCGAUACUGACGCUGAGGUGCGAAAGUGUGGGGAGCAAACAGGAUUAGAUACCCUGGUAGUCCACACCGUAAACGAUGAAUGCCAGUC